rnacentral:rRNA from 1 species
UGGGUAGGGGAGCGUUCUGUAAGCCUGUGAAGGUGUGUCGUGAGGCAUGCUGGAGGUAUCAGAAGUGCGAAUGCUGACAUAAGUAACGAUAAAGCGGGUGAAAAGCCCGCUCGCCGGAAGACCAAGGGUUCCUGUCCAACGUUAAUCGGGGCAGGGUGAGUCGACCCCUAAGGCGAGGCCGAAAGGCGUAGUCGAUGGGAAACGGGUUAAUAUUCCCGUACUUGGUGUUACUGCGAAGGGGGGACGGAGAAGGCUAUGUUGGCCGGGCGACGGUUGUCCCGGUUUAAGCGUGUAGGUGUGUGUUCCAGGUAAAUCCGGUUCACUUUAACACUGAGGCGUGAUGACGAGGCACUACGGUGCUGAAGCAACAAAUGCCCUGCUUCCAGGAAAAGCCUCUAAGCAUCAGGUAACAUCAAAUCGUACCCCAAACCGACACAGGUGGUCAGGUAGAGAAUACCAAGGCGCUUGAGAGAACUCGGGUGAAGGAACUAGGCAAAAUGGUGCCGUAACUUCGGGAGAAGGCACGCUGACACGUAGGUGAAGUGAUUUACUCAUGGAGCUGAAGUCAGUCGAAGAUACCAGCUGGCUGCAACUGUUUAUUAAAAACACAGCACUGUGCAAACACGAAAGUGGACGUAUACGGUGUGACGCCUGCCCGGUGCCGGAAGGUUAAUUGAUGGGGUCAGCGCAAGCGAAGCUCCUGAUCGAAGCCCCGGUAAACGGCGGCCGUAACUAUAACGGUCCUAAGGUAGCGAAAUUCCUUGUCGGGUAAGUUCCGACCUGCACGAAUGGCGUAAUGAUGGCCAGGCUGUCUCCACCCGAGACUCAGUGAAAUUGAACUCGCUGUGAAGAUGCAGUGUACCCGCGGCAAGACGGAAAGACCCCGUGAACCUUUACUAUAGCUUGACACUGAACAUUGAGCCUUGAUGUGUAGGAUAGGUGGGAGGCUUUGAAGCGUGGACGCCAGUCUGCGUGGAGCCGACCUUGAAAUACCACCCUUUAAUGUUUGAUGUUCUAACGUGGACCCGUAAUCCGGGUUGCGGACAGUGUCUGGUGGGUAGUUUGACUGGGGCGGUCUCCUCCUAAAGAGUAACGGAGGAGCACGAAGGUUGGCUAAUCCUGGUCGGACAUCAGGAGGUUAGUGCAAUGGCAUAAGCCAGCUUGACUGCGAGCGUGACGGCGCGAGCAGGUGCGAAAGCAGGUCAUAGUGAUCCGGUGGUUCUGAAUGGAAGGGCCAUCGCUCAACGGAUAAAAGGUACUCCGGGGAUAACAGGCUGAUACCGCCCAAGAGUUCAUAUCGACGGCGGUGUUUGGCACCUCGAUGUCGGCUCAUCACAUCCUGGGGCUGAAGUAG